rnacentral:sRNA from 1 species
AUAAUAUUAUUUUGAUAUGUGUUUUAUGUUUUAUUUUGCACUAAUGACCCGGGAAACAGAGGAACAUCUUCAAUUAGUUGUCAGUCCCCAUGGAUCCCCUCUACAUCCGCCAAAGCAGUUGCAUCCAAAUACAUUGCAUUGGCCCCUCCCGCAAUAAAAACCAGUUACUGGAUUUCCGUCGUUGCAGACGCGUUUUAAGGUAACUCCCGUAAUACCAUAGCAGCAUAUUGCCGUAGCGCCUUUAAGGCACAGUAAGGCCAAAAAUAAGUGCGCCAAUUCCAUAGCUCGAUGUUUCUUUGAACCGGUUAUAUUUGCCGAUAAUUGACUCUCCAAGUUCGUUUCUGAACUGAUCGAUCCACCUGGUAGGUCGCAAGAGAUCUAAUGCCAUGUGCCAAUAAUGAUAUUUGCCGUGAAAUUCGAUUUUAAAUGCUGGAUGGUUAAAUUAUGAUGCAAAAAGUUGGACGGAGAACGAUAUCCGGGCGCUGGCUCGACGCCUAGUUGUCAGAGUCCAUAAGAGGUGAAGCAUCGAGCUUUUGAAUCCAGACUCCCGUGAUAUCGCAAUCAUAUUUGUUUCAGAUCGAAUUAUUAUUAUAGCCAGAAAGAACAAAUAAAAUGCCGAGGCUUCGCAAUGCCUUCCACGUGAUUACUCAUUUUCUGCCUCUCACUCACACGCUCUUCGUCGUGCAAUGUGUGCGCGCUCUGUCGGAGCGGUGCCAUACUGACUGACAGCAUUGUCCGCUAUAUCUUGAUAUAUAAUAGAACAAAUAAAUCUGAAGCCAAUGUUUUAUUUUGCACUAAUAAUCUUCAAACCAAGGAGUUCCGACUUCCAGCUCUCUACAUCCGCCAUAGCAGGCGCAUCCGAAUAUAUUGCAACUGCCCCUGCCGCAAUAUAUACCGCGCGGUGGCUUGAAAUCCUGGCAGCGGCGUUUUAGGUUAAUUCCGAUAAUCGAAUGGCAGCAGUCUGCCGUUGCGCUUUCAAAGAACAGUAAGGCCAAAAA